AUUGAACGCUGGCGGCAGGCCUAACACAUGCAAGUCGAGCGAGCGGCGGACGGGUGAGUAAUGUAUGGGGACUGCCCGAUAGAGUGGGAUAACUACUGGAAACGGUAGCUAAUACCGCAUACUAUCGGAUAACCCAUAUGGGAUUAGCUAGUAGGUGAGUUAAUGGCUCACCUAGGCGACGAGCCCUAGCUGGUCUGAGAGGAUGAUCAGCCAAACUGGGAGUGAGACACGGCCGAGACUCCUACGGAGGCAGCAGUGGGGAAUAUUGAACAAGGGGCGCAAGCAUGAUGCAGCCAGGCCGCGUGUAUGAAGAAGGCCCUAGGGUUGUAAAGUACUUUCAGUCGGGAGGCGUUACCGACAGAAGAGGCACCGGCUAACUCCGUGCCAGCAGCCGCGGUAAUUC
rnacentral:rRNA from 1 species